rnacentral:rRNA from 1 species
GACAGAGGGUGCAAACGUUGUUCGGAAUUACUGGGCGUAAAGCGCGUGUAGGCGGCUAAGCAAGUCGGACGUGAAAGCCCUCGGCUCAACCGGGGAAGUGCGCUCGAAACUGCAUAGCUAGAGUCUCGGAGAGGAUCGUGGAAUUCUCGGUGUAGAGGUGAAAUUCGUAGAUAUCGAGAGGAACACCGGUGGCGAAAGCGGCGACCUGGACAGGCACUGACACUCGAACUACGAAAGCGUGGGGAGCAAACAGG